rnacentral:rRNA from 1 species
UACGAAGGGGGCUAGCGUUGUUCGGAAUUACUGGGCGUAAAGCGCACGUAGGCGGGUUGUUAAGUCAGGGGUGAAAUCCUGGAGCUCAACUCCAGAACUGCCUUUGAUACUGAGGAUCUUGAGUCCGGGAGAGGUGAGUGGAACUGCGAGUGUAGAGGUGAAAUUCGUAGAUAUUCGCAAGAACACCAGUGGCGAAGGCGGCUCACUGGCCCGGUACUGACGCUGAGGCACGAAAGCGUGGGGAGCAAACAGG